GAAUAUGACUGACUUGCCCAAGGUCAUAAAGUUAGUAAGCUAGAGCUGGGUUCUAUGGAAGUCACUAUUUUCUACCACCCAGAUCCCCCUUCAGGAUUGAAGCCUUACUCCUCCAGCUGCUGAGAGUGCCAUUGGCUGACAGCCCUCAGCUGUCACCCUCUCUGCUCAUUGCCUUUUAUUGACAGGGUUCAAAGCAGAGGUUACACACAUUUUGAAAAGCAGCUCCUGGUAUGCUUUGGGACUGUACCUGUUAGUCAUCCAAUGGUGAUGAAGCCAGAACUGCCCAUCGUGAACUUCUUACUGUCAGACCCAACACGUUAUAAGGUUUAGCAGUCUUGGCUUCGAAAGGGAGAAAGCUUCCACCAGGGGACACAGCAGGGUCCCAUUGAACUCUAAGCUAUGGUUACUGGUGGGGUACUUCAGAUUCCAUGUGCUGAGGAACCACCGUCUUAGCAGCACUAUUUGAUCCUGAUCAAGAAGAGGAGGGCUGCUCUUUCACAAUGGAAGCAGGAAGACCUAUUUUUACCACCCAGGCCUUGGAAAGUGUUCCAGGAAUGGACUUUCUGCAGUAUGAUGACCUGCAAAAGCAGCCCUUCCAUUUACAUUUCAAACUCCAAGUCAGCCGUGUCAAAGUUUGAACCAGGACUGUGGAGGAUAAUGGGUCAGAUGCAAUUAGCAGCCCAGAGAACCGCACGUUGCAGUCUGAUUUAUUUUUUUUGCCCAUCAGAUUCCAAGAAUCCUAGUGCUUAAAAGCAACUAAACAAUCGCUCUAUUGUACUGAAAUAAAGCCCAGUUAAUUCAGAAAUCAAUUGCACCACCAGGUGGGGCACACUCUGGCCCCAAACAGAUGGGGUUGAAAACUCCCCCCAAAAUGCAGUCUUGUUAAAUUAAAAACUUGAUCCAGGAGUGGAACAAAUAGGGAGCCAUGAAUGGAAUGGAGUCAGGUCCACUCAGGCGGAUUCUUUCUUCUCCCACUCCUUUUCCUUUAAAAAAGAAAAUUCCCCAUUUCACUUUCAUCAGUGUUAGCAUCUAUGCAGAAACGCAGCCAUCCACCCUUUGCAGUUGAAUGUGUUACUUUAAUUAGUCUGAAAAUUAAAGGGCAACUCCGGGCCAAUGUGAAUGAUUAUGAAAAUACAUGUGCAUCCCAUGCAAUCUUCUCAUUUAAUUAAUAGUCUUGUAAACUAUAUGGCUCACUUUAAGUCAGUCAAGAGGUAUAACAACUCCAUUUUAAAUAUCCACUUAAUACUUAACAGGAUGUGAGGAACACACUAUAGCAUACGGUCCCUUCUCAAGUUUCACUGUCUGAAAUUUUUCAAAGCUGACCCAAGUCAACCCGAAAAAUGUUUAACACCCUGGGCUUGAACACAAGAAACUCUGUGAUGAACAGACAUUCAAUUACAUUUUUUAAAAGUGAGAAGCAUUUUUGUAAAAUAGCGACUCUGGAAACUAAUUGGCAGCCGCAAAACCUGUGAGCAAAGGCCAAAUCUUGUGGGGAACUUUUACUACAGUAACACGACUCAAAGAAAAUGUGAAUAAAAGGCAUCUUUGUUUCCCAGUCAAAUUAGCUGAUUAAGAAAUAAAACAUCUUAACAUGUUUUUAAA